GUGGAUUAGAUACCCUGGUAGUCCACGCCGUAAACGAUGAGUGCUAGGCGUUGGGGGUAUUGACCCCCCCAGUGCCGCAGCUAACGCGUUAAGCACUCCGCCUGGGGAGUACGGCCGCAAGGCUAAAACUCAAAGGAAUUGACGGGGGCCCGCACAAGCGGUGGAGCAUGUGGUUUAAUUCGACGCAACGCGAAGAACCUUACCUGGGUUAAAUCCACCGGAAUCCUUAGGAGACUAGGGAGUGCCCUUCGGGGAACCGGUGAGAAGGUGCUGCACGGCCGUCGACAGCU
rnacentral:rRNA from 1 species